CUGUUAGGGACUGAGGUAAAAUUAACUGGCUGAAGGAAUGGGAAUAAUUAAAAUGUACUCGUGCAGUCUGCAAAUGUUAUUUCCCUGCAACUCCCCAAAUCCACCCAGGGCAAAGAUCUCAUUGGUGGGCCCCCUGGGGCAGCCUCAAGGCAUGUGUGGUAGUGUUACCUUCAAGCAGGUGAACUAGGAUAUAGGAAUGGGACAGUGCCACUGAUCUUCCCCUAUCUGCUCUACAGGACUUGCACCCAAUGCCCCUAAAGCACCCAGCCGGAGCCUGGCUUCAUCAGGUGGGCAAAAGGAACAGGGGAACAAGAAAAUUGUGAGACGGCAGUGGGAGACCUGGAGCACAGAGAAUAAGAACACAUUCUUUGAGGCGCUUUUUGAAGUGAGCAGAACUGCCAGUUGCUGGUUGGUCAUUGUGGGCUGUUUGAUCAUAUCAGAGGUACUGGUACAAAGGGUACUGCCCCAAUAACCCAACAGUGCUGGGUGCAGCUUAAGGGCAGUGGCAAACAGGGAGAUUAGUCGCCUCGUGACAAAUCUUUGUUGCCGCGGGCAACUAAUCUCCCCACAAUGCCAUCCCACUGGCUAGAAUGUGAAUCGCCGGUGGGAUGGCAUACGCGUCCAGGGCAGUGCUUUUACCCCCGGUAUGGAAUCCCUUAUCCAGAAACCUGAACCCAACCAGGAAAGCUUUGAAUUACAGAAAGAACAUCUCCCAUAGAAUUUAUUUUAAGCCAAUAAUUACACCAAUAAUUCUAAUUCCACUCACGCUAUAUUCUUAUAGGCAAAUAUACCACUUUCCUUAGCAGGGGAUUUCCCUUUAAUAUAUUGCUAUUCAACAGAUGAUAAAGUACAAAGGCUUAGCAUAUUUUUCUUUCACUUUAUAUGGAUGGAUGCUGCCAGUAUGCUUUUCUUACUUCAGGAAUUCUCUAUAGAUACGAGCCUAUCACUAUUCCAUUUAUAGAAUAAGAAUAAGAGGGUACCCAACGUGUUUCAGCCCAACCUACGGGGUCUUUGUCAGUCACAGUGACGAUGAAGCACUGUUUUAACAUACCCCAUUUCUAAAAGAUACUUGAAAUUACAUCCUCUAUACAGCCUUUGAUUUUCAGCUUGGAGCAGUCUGAUCAAAAAUAAUUGACAACUGGAUGCUUAUUGCCAGCUUAUUGCCAGCCCAUGCCGAUAAACCCCAGCUUCCUUUCUUGCUCUCUAUAUUAUUAGUUGGUUGGUUUUUUUUGUAAUUAUUUUAACUUAAGAUGACAACAAAGCAAGUUCUUUAUUGAUUUAUCUUAAUACCAAGAUGUCCACUGCUGAAUCCUUGGAGGGAAGAUACCCUGCAUUUUUCAGUUGAUAAUUGUUUUUUUUUCAGUUUAAUAUUAAACUGGUGCAGACAGUGCCACGCCAUAUA